UUAUACAACAGUCUGGGACACCAGACCAAAUCCCUGGCAGUGCUUAGAAGGUCCAUCCCAAUGUGCCUGGCCUGCAUUCAAGCCCUGCCUCACCACUCUCCACGUCUCACGAGAACUGCAAUGUGGUCCAUUGUGAGCACGGCCUACCGCGUGUCCUGGCUUGUAUGUGCCUCAUCGUAAUAAUUCUUCCCAAGGAGACUGACCAGAGUGAGGAAGCUGCCCCUCAGAGGGGUGAGAUAACCAGUCAAAUUGCAUCUGUUUGCUUCCUUUAGGGACAACUCCUUCAUCUGAGAUGGCCUUCCCUUCUCCAGGUCACAGUCCUUCAGAUAAGAGUCCAGGAGCCCCCAGGAUGCAAUCCUUUGCUCCUUUUCUAAAACACUCAACAAACAGCUUGCACCUGGAGGACCCUACCGAUGCCCGUUACCUGGGUCGCGGAGUCCCAGGCCCAAAGUACUAUUGUGUUGGACAGAGGAGAAAAACAUUUUAUAAAAUGGAUUUUUGCACGAAGAGACGAAGAGUAGGGAUACGUCGGUGUACCUCCAAAUCAGCAACAGAUAAAGGGGCCUGCUUCUUUGCUUUUUGAACCUGGUGCAAACUCUGCUUUAUCAGACAACACGUUUGCUUUGCUCCUUUUAUUUCCCCCUGGAGGCCGUCUCCCCAGGCCACAGAAUGGAGAGCAGCGGGCAAGCCGUAAGCCAUCGAACUCUUAGCAGCUGCCUGCUGAACCAUGAAGAAACUUAAAAUAGCGACGAUCCCCUUCCACGCUGCCGCCUCUUUCCCCGUAGAACCCGCGAGCCCAUCUGUGGUGUUUAUACUCAAGGCCCUGUGAAGCUAAUCUGUAUGGAAAUAAAGGAUAGAAAUAUU